CGUUCCAAACCCUAAAUGCCACACAUUCUUUCUUCCUCUCCUCUUUACACCGUUGCUGCUUCUUCUACAUUCCUUUUUUUCGCCAAUGUCUUUCAUCGGUCUCACACUCAGAAUGAAAUUCCUUCUCCUUCGAUCUCCUUUCCUAUUUCACUAUAAACUAACCCUAUAAAUCUUUCAAGCAACACAACAUUCUCCGCCUUCGAUCUCUAAUCACAUCGAUGGAAAUUUUUAUCCUCAGGUAACCUUACAUGGCGAGUUGAAUCAAGUAAGCAACAGAAACCCUAAAUUGGAACCAGGUGAACUCUCAUCCAGUCAACCUUCAUUGAUGAACUGCCGAAGUAGAGAGACUGCAUUUCGUCUUGGGGUGCACACAAAUGGGGUAAAUGUAUAAUUUUUAUGCCAAGAAAGCACGAUAUCGAUCGGUUGGCAUAACGCGAUAUAUGUCAAGACCAGCGGGAGAAAAUGCUAUUGGGCUUUAGAGACUGUCGUUUCAAUGUUUUAGUAGCCACGGAUAUUUCUACUCACCGGACUUGAUGUUCCAAAUGUUGAUAUGGUCUGUCUUCUUCUUUUAUUAGGUAUAAAUUAUUUUCCAAUUUGGAUAUUGUGUUUUAUAAUCAAGUAAUUCAUUUUGUACUUCCACGGCCUUCAUAAGUUUUUGUUCACAGGUGUGGUCGUACAAGCCAGGCUAGGCUGGAAAGAAAGGAAGACCGUUUUAAUUCAUUCAU